UACGUAGGGUGCAAGCGUUGUCCGGAAUUAUUUGGGCGUAAAGAGCUCGUAGGCGGUUUGUCGCGUCUGCUGUGAAAACCCGAGGCUCAACCUCGGGCCUGCAGUGGGUACGGGCAGACUAGAGUGCGGUAGGGGGAGAUUGGAAUUCCUGGUGGUAGCGGUGGAAUGCGCAGGAAUAUCAGGAGGAACACCAAUGGCGAAGGCAG
rnacentral:rRNA from 1 species